CAUUAUGUACCAACCACCACACCACAGAAUUACACUACUAACUUAAAGCUGCGGUCGGCAACUCUGGAGGAUUGAGCCGUUUCCAAAUGUUUACAAUUUCAUGUCCCUCCCCCACUACCGCAGAGCCACCUCCCUUCGUGCUCGUUCUCGUCAUUGCGUGUGAACCAGUAUUAUUGUGAACGCGCCCGGCCCGUCUCAUCAGCAUCGAUGAACACUAUGGAGUACUCGGAGAGUUUUGAAAGCGAGGCACAAGUCUCGGAUGAAGAGUAUGUCCCCGCGGCCGUUUCUACACUCCAGUGUACGGAUCAAGGCAAUAGCCAUAGCCGCAGAGGUGCUGCUGGAGGUAGCGCUGGACCAGGCAGACGGCGACGAUUGAGAUAUAACCAAGCAAACCUGGACAAGGAGGACGUGGCUCGGGUCAAUCUUUUGCGAUCGCAAAGAAUAGAAUUUUAACAUGCUCAAAUUCAACGACUGACCCCAGGGCAGGCACAACAAGUGUUGGAGAGGUGCUUGACACGGUACCCCAGCCUCAUAUUUGAUGUGAUGGGCCAAUUACCUGCUGCCCCUCACCCUUUUCCUCCAGUCUCUGGGCAACCAACUUGGUGCAUCUGCAGCAGGUGCAGAGCAAUGGCCACGCUUGUAGAGAUGAAAUGCUGCAACCAACAGCCCGACAUGUGUGUCUCCACAUUACCUCAAAUGGAGCAAUAUAUUUUGCAGGAGGGGGUGUUGCGCCUGGCCCGAACCAUUUGGAAUGACCUCCGUGCAGUUGCAGAUGUCCCAGAGGAGGGCGAAGAUAACCGUCAGUUCCGCCAUGCUGCUUACAGGCAGUAUGUUGCUUGGCAGUGUGGGACUCUGGGUGCUGGGAAUAGGGUGGUGAUUCCAAGCUGCGUUGUGUGGGCCAUAAGGGAUCGUUUCCCAGACCCUAAUGGCCAGUACAGGGGAUUUAUUCCUAGACAGGCCUAGCUGCUCAAACUUUUUUAAAUUGGGAUAUGUGCAGUUAUGUAUAUAGUUCUUCUGUGUGACCAAAUAAAGUUUUACUUUAGGAAAUGUUAUCUGUGUAAAUGAUUACUAA